CUUUUUCCUGAAUUAUUGAAGUAAACGUUUUUUUAGUCGUGCCUCAAUGUGCUCAAACAGCCAGCUGUGAAAGUUGUAUUUCCGCUGGGUUUAUGUGGUCAUAAUUAGCAGCUCCCAUGUGACUGGGUGUUUGUGUGUGUGUGUGUGAGGGAGUGUGUGUGUGUGUGUGUGUGUGUGUGUGUUGUGUGAGAGUGUUUGUGAGUGAGCACGCCUGUGAGCAGGGGUGUGCUUGUGUUUACAUGACAGCCGAGCCGACCAGGAGAGGAAGUGACGCAGGAGGCAGUGGAGGGGCGAGAGCUGCAGACAUUACCAGCUGCAGAGAGCAAGAGAAAGAAGAAGAAGAAGAUGGAGGGACGGGGCAGGAAAACCACAAACAGAUAAAAGAGAGACACACACAAGAAAGUCAAAAGCUAUCACUUUCUUUUCUUGACUGCAGGAACGACGCCCCGCCUCUGCAGCCGGAUCCACCGUAAACAAAGCACGCAGUAAAAAAUGAGUCAGUGUCCGCGUAGGUUGGGCAAGUGCGCAGUUGAUUAUGAAAUGUGUUUACCCUCUCCGCUCUCAAUAAAACUAGUGACACAGGCUUUUGUUUGUCCAGAGCUUUGCCUGUUUCAGAUCUGAGCAAGCCGACCUGCUUGCUAUCCACAGUCAUCAUCUCUCUGGCCCCUCUCAGACCGGAGCAGACUCCAACUUUCUUGGACGUUAGGCAACUUUCAUAACAGCUUCGGGAACCAGAGGUGGCGGUGACCUGUGAGCUGUAAUAACCUAACCAGGACCCGUUAACCGAGUCACGGUGACAUGGAGUCGAGGUGGCAUUUUGAGGAGAGAAACUCACUCAAAAAAUGAUGACUUCAAAACAGCAAAAAACUGACAAGUGCAUGUCCACACAUACCGAGAGGUUAUUAUUGACAGGGAGAAGAAAACUGCAACGUGAUUCGGUGGAGUUAAUGUAUGCAGCAGAUGCCCAUGAGCUUCAAAUUAGCGAGCAGGACUGAAAUGACACACUCCUGGCACCCAAAAGGCACAGAGGCAGCGCGGACGGACAGACGCAUCGACAGGGAGGAUGACAUCACCGUCACCCGUGGGAGCCAGGGUCUGCCUUCAAUGCCAGUGGUGUUUAACAUGGCAUGCUUGUGUCGUCUUCCCUGCAGGACCAGUGACUGAAAAAAGGAAGCUGCAAUCCCCGGUGCUGCUGGAGGCAGACUUUCAUCGUACCAGCCGUCCACGUCGCCGCGCUGCCAUGACAACCCCGUCCAUGUUUGAGACAGAAAGCAAGAAUCCCUGGUGACACUCUCAGUGAAAUACUGCAGGGAGGAUGUCAGAGAAGGAGUACAACUAAACUAACUUGAACAGCAGUGAUGGGCAGUGUGUGUCUAGAGAUGACGUUGUGGUUUUUUCUGUGUUAUUUACAGAGUGAAUGUGAUUGUAGUGGUUGCUAAGGGAAACCAGGGUGAUAAUUACCUGUUGGGCCCCCAGUUGGGCAAAAUCACAAAAACCAAAAAAGCACAUUUUUAUCUCAGAAUUUCACUGGUGUCAGCUGCUCUGGGUUUAUUAAUCACUGCAGGAUGUAGUGUUUACAUUUUCUGCUUGAACCUACACUGCAAGCUAGCACAAGCUAACCGUCUGUGUUUGUCACCUGCCUGUCCAACAGGAAGUAAACCAAAUCUGCGUCUGCAGGUGAAAGCCUGCACAAGGUUCAACCUCAUCUUGAAACGAGCUUCAUGCACUCUGCGUUUCGACUUACUAAGAUUGUUGUAUCCACUCCUAAACUCGCCUGUGUGCUGUCAUUGGCUUGAGGAAACACACCAGCUCCCCGCCAAAAACAUCCCGAGUCAACCACAACAUCAAGAUCAAGGCAGAGGGCGGGGUCUCUGCAGACACAGUCAACACCACACAAGUACAGAGGCCCAGAAGUGAAGAUUGAGUAGCAUUACAAAAGCUGCAGACUCUGCCUUUAAUAAAUAAAAAGAAUAUUUCAGUAAUAUAAGUUCAGAAUAACAGGUUCACCUCAUGCUGCAGCUGUGAUCCAGCACCAAACCCAUCUUCCCCCAGAAGCUGGUUUCACGUGGUGGUUUAGAUGUGUG